AUUGAUUUUAUGCUUGCAUAAAUGAUUUUCGGAUUCGGAGCGAGUGGCGAACUGGUGAGUAACACGUGGGUAACCUGCCCCGAAGCGGGGGAUAACAUUUGGAAACAAAUGCUAAUACCGCAUAAUUAGUCAGAACCGCAUGGUUCCGACUUAAAAGAUGGCUCUGCUAUCACUUCGGGAUGGACCCGCGCCGUAUUAGUUAGUUGGUGAGAUAAAAGCCCACCAAGACGAUGAUACGUAGCCGACCUGAGAGGGUAAUCGGCCACAUUGGGACUGAGACACGGCCCAGACUCCUACGGGAGGCAGCAGUAGGGAAUCUUCCACAAUGGACGAAAGUCUGAUGGAGCAACGCCGCGUGAGUGAUGAAGGGUUUCGGCUCGUAAAACUCUGUUGUUAAAGAAGAACAAGCAUGAGAGUAACUGUUCAUGCUUUGACGGUAUUUAACCAGAAAGCCACGGCUAACUACGUGCCAGCAGCCGCGGUAAUACGUAGGUGGCAAGCGUUGUCCGGAUUUAUUGGGCGUAAAGCGAGCGCAGGCGGUUUUGUAAGUCUGCUGUGAAAGCCCUCAGCUCAACUGAGGAAGUGCAGUGGAAACUACAAAACUUGAGUACAGAAGAGGAAAGUGGAACUCCAUGUGUAGCGGUGAAAUGCGUAGAUAUAUGGAAGAACACCAGUGGCGAAGGCGGCUUUCUGGUCUGUUACUGACGCUGAGGCUCGAAAGCAUGGGUAGCGAACAGGAUUAGAUACCCUGGUAGUCCAUGCCGUAAACGAUGAAUACUAGGUGUUGGAGGGUUUCCGCCCUUCAGUGCCGCAGCUAACGCAUUAAGUAUUCCGCCUGGGGAGUACGACCGCAAGGUUGAAACUCAAAGGAAUUGACGGGGGCCCGCACAAGUGGUGGAGCAUGUGGUUUAAUUCGAUGCUACGCGAAGAACCUUACCAGCUCUUGACAUCUUCUGCCAACCUAAGAGAUUAGGCGUUCCCUUCGGGGACAGAAUGACAGGUGGUGCAUGGUUGUCGUCAGCUCGUGUCGUGAGAUGUUGGGUUAAGUCCCGCAACGAGCGCAACCCUUAUUAUUAGUUGCCAGCAUUUAGUUGGGCACUCUAGUGAGACUGCCGGUGAUAAA
rnacentral:rRNA from 1 species